GCAAACUUGGUCAUUUAGAGGAAGUAAAAGUCGUAACAAGGUUUCCGUAGGUGAACCUGCGGAAGGAUCAUUAAUGAUUUGAAAAAAAAAAGUAAGCUCAUGAAAAUGAGGUUUACUUUUUUAAACUUUACAUUUUAACCCCUGUUUUAAAAAUGUUUACUAGAGUGUUUAUAGAGUUAUAACUGUAAUGGUUGUAAUGAUUUAUAAAAAAAAAGUUUUAUAAUAAAACUUUCAGCAAUGGAUCUCUUGGUUCAGGCAUCGAUGAAGAACGCAGC
rnacentral:misc_RNA from 1 species